GUGUUCGCGGAAAGGAGAGAUUGGUUGGCAUCUCCCCUGACAGGGACGAGAAUCUCUGUGAGAAACACACGGUUAAGGCUUCUGCCUUGGCGCGGAUCUUUACACAUUUUUUC
rnacentral:ncRNA from 1 species